UAACUGUAAUUUUGCUACUGUUAUGAACUGUAGUGUAAAUAUCUGAUAGGCAGGACAUCUGAUAUGUGUCCACAGUGAGAGAGUCAUUCAACUCCCACUGGGGUUGAAAACUGCUGGUUUAGAUCUCAAGCGUUUACCAGUGGCCCGUGUGUCAGAAGCUUGGUCCCUAGCAGGCUGCUAAUAGAGGGUAACGGGACCUGAAGGGUAGGGCAUAGUAAGAGUUUCUUAGUGUCAAGAGUGGGAAGGAUUAUGAAAUCAUGACCCCUUCUUUCCCUUCUAGAUAUCGAGAGCUUUUAUUUGAAGUCAACACUGCAGUGUACUGCCUUGCUGCGUGUCCCACAACAACUGCAGACUGAAACUGUGAGCCCGAAUAAGCUGUUCUCCUUUGUAAACUGAUUAAUCUUAGGUGUCUGUCUGACACACCAGAUGAAAACAUUCUGAAUUCCAUUUUCACUUGGAGUCUAUGGCAGGAUUCCGAAAUUGCCAUAGCCAUGCCUAAAAUUCAGGAAAGAGACAGGAAAUGGGAGAGAAGAAAAUGUAAAAAGGCUGGCGCCUUCCGGAGGGAGAAAGAUCAUCAGAAUUCUGCUUACGAAUUUACCAAACACCUACAGUCCCUCCUCAGGAGGUGGCAGGUCUGCACACUAUGCAGACAGCAGGUUCUCAAGGGAAGUCCCCAUUUUAGAAGGUUGUAGAUGAAUGAAUGACACUCUAACAAUCCCUGCUUCAAUGUGAAGUAUGUGAGCUUUAAAACCCUUUGGAGUUUUGUCCAAAUCCCUUCUGGAUCGUCACUGAGCCACAUACCUCUCCUGAGUCUCAUUUCCAUGUGUAAAUACACCGAUAAUACCUAUUACAUAAGGCUUCUUUGAUGCCUAAAAAAAUAGGUAUUUUAAACACAGCAAAAUACUUGGAUUGGAAACUAUUAUAUUGUCAUUAACUCUAAUGUCUUUAUGCUACCCAUUUAUACAAAUUAGUACUUUCAGAUCCAGAGUUGAAGUUCUCUAUUACUCAACUUGGGAGAUGCACACAGGUUGGGGGAGAAACUUACUUCAAUCUAUGUUGCUGGAGUCCUGUUCUUUCUAAAUGCCUUAUGUACCCCAAACAGAGCAUACAUAUGGCAAAGGAAAGACUCACAAAUAA